rnacentral:tRNA from 1 species
UGGGCAGUAGCUCGGUGGUGGAGCUCCUGCUUCGUAUGCGGGAAGACCUGGGUUCGAUUCCCGUCUGCUGAA